CCUACGGGAGGCAGCAGUGAGGAAUAUUGGUCAAUGGGCGCGAGCCUGAACCAGCCAAGUAGCGUGAAGGAUGAAUGCCCUACGGGUUGUAAACUGCUUUUGUAAAGGAAUAAAGUGAGGGACGUGUGCCGGGUUGUAUGUACCUUAUGAAUAAGGAUCGGCUAACUCCGUGCCAGCAGCCGCGGUAAUACGGAGGAUCCCAGCGUUAUCCGGAUUUAGUGGGUUUAAAGGGUGCGGAGGUGGUUUGUUAAGUCAGGUGUGAAAGUUUGGGGCUCAACCCUAACAGUGCAGUUGAUACUGGCAGCCUUGAGUUCAGUUGAGGUAGGCGGAAUUCGUGGUGUAGCGGUGAAAUGCUUAGAUAUCACGCAGAACUCCGAUUGCGAAGGCAGCCUACCAAACUGCCACUGACGUUGAUGCUCGAAAGUGUGGGUAUCAAACAGGAUUAGAUACCCCAGUAGUC
rnacentral:rRNA from 1 species